rnacentral:rRNA from 1 species
UACGUAGGGUGCGAGCGUUAAUCGGAUUUACUGGGCGUAAAGCGUGCGCAGGCGGCCCGUUAAGACCGGUGUGAAAUCCCUGGGCUCAACCUAGGAAUUGCGCUUGUGACUGGCGGGCUCGAGUACGGUAGAGGGGGGUGGAAUUCCUGGUGUAGCAGUGAAAUGCGUAGAGAUCAGGAGGAACACCGAUGGCGAAGGCAGCCCCCUGGGCCUGUACUGACGCUCAUGCACGAAAGCGUGGGGAGCAAACAGG